AACGAACGCUGGCGGCAGGCCUAACACAUGCAAGUCGAACGCCCUAGCAAUAGGGAGUGGCAGACGGGUGAGUAACGCGUGGGAACCUUCCCAGUGGUACAGAAUAACCCAUCGAAAGAUGGGCUAAUACCGUAUACGCCCGCAAGGGGAAAGAUUUAUCGCCAUUGGAUGGGCCCGCGUCGGAUUAGCUGGUUGGUAGGGUAACGGCCUACCAAGGCGACGAUCCGUAGCUGGUCUGAGAGGAUGAUCAGCCACACUGGGACUGAGACACGGCCCAGACUCCUACGGGAGGCAGCAGUGGGGAAUAUUGGACAAUGGGCGCAAGCCUGAUCCAGCCAUGCCGCGUGAGUGACGAAGGCCUUAGGGUUGUAAAGCUCUUUUGGCGGGGACGAUAAUGACGGUACCCGCAGAAUAAGUCCCGGCUAACUUCGUGCCAGCAGCCGCAGUAAUAC
rnacentral:rRNA from 1 species